AUGACCUAUGAUUUGACAGCUGGUUCCAACUCCCACCUGUCAGUUUCGUAGGUCAAAGU
rnacentral:pre_miRNA from 1 species